rnacentral:rRNA from 1 species
UACGUAGGGUGCGAGCGUUGUCCGGAAUUAUUGGGCGUAAAGAGCUUGUAGGCGGUUUGUCGCGUCUGCUGUGAAAACUGGAGGCUCAACCUCCAGCCUGCAGUGGGUACGGGCAGACUAGAGUGUUGCAGGGGAGACUGGAAUUCCCGGUGUAGCAGUGAAAUGCGUAGAGAUCGGGAGGAACAUCAGUUGCGAAGGCAGCCCCCCUGGGUCAAGACUGACGCUCAUGCACGAAAGCGUGGGGAGCAAACAGG